rnacentral:sRNA from 1 species
GCCGGGUGUUGUGGGGCGCCUGUGGUCCCACUACUUGGGAGGCGGAGGCAGGAGACUCACUUGAGCCCAGGAGUUGGAGGUUGCUGUGAGCUGUGAUGCCACAGCACUUUACCCAGGGGGACAGCCUGAGGCUCUGUCUCAAAAAAAGGAGACAGUCUCACUAUGUUGCCCUUGGUAGAGUGACAUGGUGUCACAGCUCACAGCAACCUCAAACUCUUGGGCUUAAGCAAUUCUCUUGCC